rnacentral:rRNA from 1 species
UACAGAGGGUGCAAGCGUUGUUCGGAAUUAUUGGGCGUAAAGGGCGCGUAGGCGGUGCUGUAAGUCUGUGGUGAAAUCUCUGGGCUCAACUCAGAGUCUGCCAUAGAAACUGCAGUGCUGGAGUGUGGGAGAGGUGAGUGGAAUUCCCGGUGUAGCGGUGAAAUGCGUAGAUAUCGGGAGGACACCUGUGGCGAAAGCGGCUCACUGGACCACAACUGACGCUGAGGCGCGAAAGCUAGGGGAGCAAACAGG